rnacentral:tRNA from 1 species
UUAAUUAAAGCCAAAAUGGAGGCUUAUCAUUGUUAAUGAUAUCAUUGAAUAAUAAUUUUCUAAUUAAA